GACUGACCUUUGUGAAGAAUCGGUUGGAUAUCCAGCUAACCCCUUUUGUUUUGAUAUGAAUAAAUGGCAAAACAAUUUUCAGAUUGAAGAACAGACCGCCUUUGUCACCAAAGAAAAGCCUGCGCCUCAGUAAUUAAGCAGCAUUCUUUCUGUUCCUAAAGUUCUCCUUCAUUGAUGUGAAUUUUUUCUUGCACUGGUUCACCGUCUUCCCAGGAACGGCGGCAGCAACCCGCUCCCAUCGCUGGUUGGUCUCCUUUGGGAAUGUUUUCAGAGCUUGGACUAGUGCUCUUUCUUGUACAGCUGACCAAUCGUCUUGUUCCGAACUAGAGGAUACUCCAUUUGCAGAUGAAUCGCUGGGAGCUUGGUUGUUU
rnacentral:misc_RNA from 1 species